CCACCUCUGGCGGGGGCUUGGGGCGCCACCCUCUCCAGAGCACAACUCAAACCUUCAAGAAAUGGGGCCUGGAAGAGCGAGUGAGGCGGUUAGGAAGAGGAACUUGGACGAUAAAAGGAAUACAAAGAGAAGCGGAGAGCCAUCGAACCACACACACACACACAAAUAACCCACCAAACUUUGAGUUAGACCUAUCAGUUUAAUUGUACUCCUUUGAAUCUAGAGAGAAAAAAAAUCUCCCUGGCUUGUGGGGGAUGACAAGUUCGUAUGUUCUUUCCCCUUUUUUAGCCCUUGGAGAUGUAAGAAAACUUGUUCCCAUUGAGCCAAAUGCUGGAAACUGAGAUCACUCCGGUUUGAUAAAUAUUAGGGAACAAUAUUGAUGAGUGCUUUGAAAACAUGGGUAAAUAGAAACACUGGAUAAUAAUUUAUCUCACUGCAAUGACUUCAAAUUAAACAUUAUUAGUCUUAAAAGAAUUGUAA